rnacentral:rRNA from 1 species
CAGUAGCCGCGGUAAUACGAAGGGUGCAAGCGUUACUCGGAAUUACUGGGCGUAAAGCGUGCGUAGGUGGUGGUUUAAGUCCGUUGUGAAAGCCCUGGGCUCAACCUGGGAAUUGCAGUGGAUACUGGAUCACUAGAGUGUGGUAGAGGAUAGUGGAAUUUCCGGUGUAGCAGUGAAAUGCGUAGAGAUCGGAAGGAACAUCUGUGGCGAAGGCGACUAUCUGGGCCAACACUGACACUGAGGCACGAAAGCGUGGGGAGCAAACAGGAUUAGAUACCCGGGUAGUCCCUGUCUCUUAUAC